AACGCACAUUGCGCCCCUUGGUAUUCCAUGGGGCAUGCCUGUUCGAGCGUCAUUUGUACCCUCAAGCUAUGCUUGGUGUUGGGUGUUUGUCCUUGUAUUUAGUGCCAGGACUCGCCUUAAAGUAAUUGGCAGCCAGUGUUUUGGUAUAAAGCGCAGCACAUUUUGCGAUUUAAUACAAUAAUAUUAGCAACCAACAAGCUCAAUUUAACACUUUUGACCUCGGAUCAGGUAGGGAUACCCGCUGAACUUAA
rnacentral:misc_RNA from 1 species